AACGAACGCUGGCGGCAUGCCUAACACAUGCAAGUCGAACGCAACCUCCUUUAGAUUUGACGCAUUUGUUCGUCAUUCAUCGAAAUUUGCCUUAAUGGUGGGCAUGACACUCAGACGUGGGUAAUCAUCCCUGAUAAUGUCUUCGACCUAAAGAUUCAUCGACUUUGUAUGGGCCAGCGUUGUAUUAGCUUGUUGUUAUGUUAAAAGCCUAUCACGGCUAUGAUCUAUAGCUGGUCUGAGAGGAUGAUCAGCAACACUGGGACUGAGACACGGCCGAGACUCCUACGGGAUGCAGGAGUGGGGAAUAGUGGACAAUGGGCGAAAGCCUGAUGCAGCAAUGCCGGGUGAGUGAUGAAGGCGUUAGAGUUGUAAAGCUCUUUUACCCGGGAAGAUAAUGACAGUACCGAGAGAAUAAGCUCCGGCUAACUCCGUG
rnacentral:rRNA from 1 species